UAUAAGUGCGGUUGUAGGCUUUUAUGUUCAACGUUUGACGGUCCGUCUUAUUUGAAAAUAAUUAUGAUUAGUAUUUUUAUUGUUAUUAAAUGAUAAAACGUGAAUAGUAUUUUAUGUGUAACUAAUUUUUUAAAGUUUUUUUUAUAAAUUUUUCAAAUAAGACGAACGGUUAAACAUUGGACACGGAAACCCACCAUUACACUUAUA
rfam:Oryza barthii chromosome 9, whole genome shotgun sequence.